GCGUGGGUCCUGUGCGACGGAGCGCUGUGAAUCAUGUCAGGCGGGGAACCGAGCAGCAUUAAGCGGUUAGCACUGUGCGCCACAGUAAGCCUGCUCGCC
rnacentral:SRP_RNA from 4 species